CUUCAGCGAGCCCAGCCGCAGCGGCUCGCCGCCGUCGCGGCCCUGGCCGUAGGUGGCGAGCAGGGCCUGUGCCUC
rnacentral:antisense_RNA from 3 species